ACUCCUACGGGAGGCAGCAGUGAGGAAUAUUGGUCAAUGGACGGAAGUCUGAACCAGCCAAGUCGCGUGCAGGAUGACGGCGCUCUGCGUUGUAAACUGCUUUUAUAUAGGAAUAAAACACCUACGUGUAGUGUCUUGCAGGUACUAUAUGAAUAAGGAUCGGCUAACUCCGUG
rnacentral:rRNA from 1 species